UAAAGAGAAAUGAAGAGAACACCUGC
rnacentral:piRNA from 2 species